AGAAGAAAAACAAAAGUUCCCGACAGCUGAGAGGGCGCGCCCGUAGACGUUGCUGCUCAGGCUUCAAGAUGGCGGAAGCCCUGACAACUCAAGAGGAGGUGGCGGUUGAGGAGUUCCUGGCUGAGCUGAGGUGUCGGGAACAGUCUCAGAAUGCAGAUCUUGUCAGUCAGAUGACAGCGGUUAAGUUCCUUGUGGCAAGAAAGUUUGAUGUUUCCAGAGCCAUAGACCUCUUCCAAGCUUACAAGAACACCAGAAUAAAGGAAGGCAUCUACAAUAUUAACCCAAAUGAGGAGCCUUUAAGGAGCGAGUUACUUAGUGGGAAAUUCACAGUUCUGCCCGGCCGUGAUGCGAAAGGUGCGGCUUUGGCGCUUUUUACAGCACGUCUCCAUCGCCCAGAACUCACUACCCAUAAGGCUGUUCUUCAGGCCAUUAUAUAUCAGCUGGACAAGGCCAUCGAGAGUGUUCAGACACAGAGAGACGGGCUCAUUUUUAUCUAUGAUAUGACUAACUCCACAUAUGCCAAUUUUGACUAUGAGCUUUGCGUCAAGAUUUUGAAUCUGCUUAAAGGGGCUUUCCCUGCUCGUCUGAAAUGCGUCUUUAUUGUGUCGUCUCCGCUGUGGUUCAGAGCACCAUUUGCGGUACUCCGUCUGUUUGUGAGAGAGAAACUGAGAGAAAGGGUGUGCACUGUAAAAGCCCACGAACUGGUCAAUCACAUCCCAGUCAGCUCCCUUCCAGAACAUUUGGGUGGCUCGUCACAGUAUAGUCACAUUGCCUGGAUCCAGUCCUGCGUCAACUCCAGCCCCAACCACCCCAAUAACUCUCCCUACGUCACUGGGGACUGCUUGGGCAGUCUCCUCCACUCCUACUCCAUGGAGCAUGGCCAGAACACUUCAGGAGACCUCUUAACUGCCAAUACUUCAGGGGCCACCCUCCUGGGGGACGGCCUGAACUCAAACUGCCCCAUACUGGAUGACGGCAAUGCCAACCUGCAGAACCACAGGACUGCGGGGCAUGCGCAUUGGAACGGCUCUGUACUGCCAGGUUCAGGGGGAAUCUCGGGGUCCAACGCCAAUGUCGUAAAUGGGCGUGGCCGGCAGCCACCCCCACAGUCAGACACGCCCCCAGACACGCCCCUGCAUCAAAAACACACAGCUGGUGCAAUAGUACCAGGAGGUGGAGGGACUAUGGGUAUGGAAGGCGCAUGUUUGGACGACAGAAGGCAGGAUGGCAAUGGUGCUGAGGACAUCCAACAGGAUGUGGAGUUUCUGGAAGAGGAAGUGGAUGGAGGGGAUGGCAUUCCACCCCUUCCACUGAAAUCAAGGCUGCCGCCCCUCCAUCACAGCCCCGCCCCAGAUAUGAGCUGGUUACCGGGAACGACGACGGAAACGGCUGCGCUGUCGGUGCAUGCGGCUGAGCCAGGCGGAAUGAGCGUGCAGGAUCUGGUGCAACACGUGAAACGUAAAAAGAAGAAGGGCAUUUAUCAGGAGUACGAGGAGAUCCGCAAAGAACCUCCUGAUGGAACCUUUGACUACUCUAAGAAAGCUUCUAACCAGAUAAAGAAUCGCUACAGUGAUGUCCUCUGCCUUGACCAAUCACGUGUUCGACUCUGUCCGCUCAACAAUGAGGAUGAUGAGACAUCUGACUACAUAAAUGCAAGUUUCAUGGAUGGUUACAAGAGGAGUAAUGCUUACAUCGCUACUCAGGGGCCUUUGCCAAAAACAUUUGGAGACUUUUGGCGAAUGGUGUGGGAGCAAAUGGUUUUAAUCAUUGUUAUGACAACAAGAGUUGUAGAGCGAGGCAGAGUGAAGUGUGGACAGUACUGGCCAUUAGAGGCUGGGCGCACUGAGGAUUAUGGGUACUUUUUGGUGAGAAAUGUCCAUAUUGAGAUGUUUCAGGACUUUAAGCUGUCACACCUGGAGCUCUUCAACACUCAGACAGGGGAAAGCAGGGAAUUGUCUCAUUACCUCUACAUGAGCUGGCCAGAUUUUGGUGUUCCGAAGUCAGCGUCGGCCAUGUUGGAUUUCCAGGCGCACGUGAAACAGAGACAAGAAUUCUCAUUACGAACACUGUAUCCUGAUUGGACGGGACCCCCAGGGGGCCCCCCAGUGGUGGUGCACUGCAGCGCAGGCAUCGGCCGAACAGGCACGUUUUGUACUUUAGACAUUUGUCUCUCUCGUCUGGAGGACAUCGGGACAGUGGACAUUAAGCAGACGGUGCGUCACAUGCGGACACAGCGUGCCUUCAGCAUCCAAACGUGGGACCAGUACUACUUCUGCUACAAAGCAGUGAUCGAGUAUGCCCAACAGACCGGCCUGCUGCAGCCUGUGGAGUGGUCCGACACUGAGCUGGAGACCGACAGCGAGUGAAUCAGGAAAAACAGAACUCGCAGGAGAGGGCGCAGAAGACAUGGAAGGAAAAGAAGCCAUCUUUUCCCCUCUCCUGGCUACAGAUGCCUGUAGCAGAACCUUUUUCAUACUCCGUGAACUGUUAAAGGGCCAAGACUGAAGCAGACAAGUGACCGAUCAGCACGGCUGCCACUAACAGUUGUAACUAUUUGCCAAUCAAAACACAGACAGAGGUUUUACAUGUAAGGGAAAAAAAAACAAACAUAUGAACUUGAAUGUUAUUAGAUAAAAAUCAUGUUGUCUUUGGGAGAACUUUGGAAUGCUUUCUCCUUGAAUAUCAAUGCUUGUAUGAUGACAGAUGGUAGUGAAUGUGUGAACGUCCCACUCAUCUAAUGUUUGCUUGUUGACUGACUUAUCCAGUGCAGGUGUGUAGAAUGUGCUUGACUGUUUUAUACAGCUGAUUACUGCUCGAAUGAGACGUAAGUGGCAGAGACACACUUGGCUCUGGUUUAUUAAAGCAGUCGGGAAUGCGAUAUGAGUGUUGUUACUUUUGUUUUUCUUCAUUUGGUGCCCAAAGUUCUUGUGAUUGAGUAAUGGCCUUUUUACCCGACAUCUGCAGUAGUGUCGUAGUAAACAUGAAUAUUAUUCUGAAACUGAGCAUGUGUUUGUGUUAAAAUGAGUUGAUGAGAACUGAAACGUGAAAC